GUCGGUGUGAAGAUAGAUGAUGGAGAUAAAGCCCUCUUACUUUUAAGCUCUCUCCCACAAUCUUAUAAAAGUUUGGUAAUAACCCUAACAGUUGGGCAUGAGACUUUAAAGAUGGAGGAGGUUACCACAAUUAUCUUGGAUGAUGAGAAGAAGUUCAAGAAGAAAAGCAGUAGCAAUGAAUAUUGAGCUUUUGUUACUAGUUCUAAUUGAGGUAGAAGCAAUGCGCGUGAAAACAAUUGGAGAAGGAAUAGUAGGUCGAGCUUGAGACUAUG
rnacentral:misc_RNA from 1 species